UACGAAGGGGGCUAGCGUUGUUCGGAAUUACUGGGCGUAAAGCGCGCGCAGGCGGUCUUCCAAGUCAGUGGUGAAAGCCCCGGGCUCAACCCGGGAAGUGCACUCGAUACUGCCGAGCUAGAGUGUCGGAGAGGUUGGUGGAAUUCUCGGUGUAGAGGUGAAAUUCGUAGAUAUCGAGAGGAACACCGGUGGCGAAGGCGGCCAACUGGACGAACACUGACGCUGAGACUCGAAAGCGUGGGGAGCAAACAGG
rnacentral:rRNA from 1 species